AGAUGUGGAAGCCCGGUAACGGGUGGAGCUGACUGGUACUAAUAGGCCGAGGGCUUGUCCUCAGUUG
rnacentral:rRNA from 2 species